GACUCCGCCCUGGUCUAUUACCUCCAAUGUGGUGGGUGGGCCUUGGCUGGACCCUGGCUGUUCAUAGGAUGCUGGUCCUCCUUCCUCAGCGUCCUGGCCUCCACUGUCCCUGGGAAGCACAGACGGGGUGGAGGGCUCAGUCAUAGAGGUGGCACUGCCACCAUGCGGGACAGCGUCCAGUAUGUCACACAGACCUUUCAUAAUGGCUCAGGUGCCAGGUGGAUGGCACACACCAUCCUCCCUGGGAGGCCCCCAGCAGGGUUUCAUUCACUCCACAGUCUGGGAUUAGGUGUUUUCCCGGGGUCCCCAGCCUGCUAAGGUUCUUAGAGUUUGGGAUGCUGCUCUUCCCAGUGAACAGGGAAGAGUCCUCAUGAGUGGGACUGGUAAGGGCAGUAGGGAGCGAAUGAUGGUUCAGUCGCUUGCUUGGGAGGCUGAGGCAGGGCAGUUACAAGUUGGAAGCCAGAGUGAGACCCUGUCUCAAAAUAAGAAGGAAAAGGGGGUCGGGGGUUGAUGCGUGGAUGAGACCCUAGGUCCCAUAGUAGGACUUCAGUAAUGUUGUGAGUUGUCCACCAGAGAAGAGAUGCGGACACUCUUAUGCUAAUAGAAAGUCCUCACUGGCUACACUGGAUGCUGGGGCCCCAGUGUAGCUCUGAGCCUCUCUUAGGGUAAGCUUUGUAAGUACAAAAACCAGAUCCUGGGUUGACACACCUCAGCUAACUAGAAAGGUUAGCAGAAGCACAACCGCAGAACCUCAAAAGCAAGGUAAUCCCACCUGUUUCUUCUCCCCACCAUCAUUGCUAUGGCUACUAGAAAAAGAAAAAUGUCACCUGCACACAUCACCCCAUCUGUGGCUCAAACCCUGUGUCUACCACUAAGUCAAUGACACCAGAUGACACCAGAGCCUCCAUUUUCAAUCCUGCUGUUGGGCAGCAUGUGAGGUCGGCAACCAAGUCUCCCGACCUCUGGGAACCUCUCCAAAUCCCUCCUGGGUUCAAUACGGGACUAUGUUGAACAGCGCAGAGCCAUGUCUCCUAACACAUGCUGGGUCCAUCUCUUGUUACCCUCUCCUCUCCAGUGUCUCUGUAAAUACCUCCAGGGAUGCCCGGAUGGCCCUGAUUCUGAGCAGGGACCAUCAUCUCUCCUGUGCUCCAGUUACCCUGCCAGCGACCUGUGUGUCCUCAUCCCUACUCCAGCCAUCGUUCUUCUUGGCGGUCACAGGAGAAGCCCUUCUUCCCACACCCUGGAUCCCCCUCCAGUGUCUCAACUAUUCCUGCACUGGCACCAUCUUAGCCCCUUUCAGACCAAAAGUGAAGCAAGCCUUGUGGCAUCCCUUUGAGUCCCUUUGGAAGAGUAUAAGGGGACCCCCUAAAACAGUUAAAUUAUCUCUAGGUA